CAGCCUUCUGAACCAGGACAUCCCUAACCACAAAGGAAGUGGAUCUACCUGGCAGCAGCUUCUCCCCCACCACCACUGUCUACCUGGAUACCUACCCUAGCAAGCCUUCUCUCCCAGUUCAGAUAUGUUUGUCUAAGGAUCUUCCACCUCUGGUCACCACUCCUAAUCACAUCAGCUUUCAGGACAAUGGGAACAUCGUCCUGAAAUCCACACCCUGAAAUCCAUCUGUAACGCUGCUGGGAUUAAAAGGCAAGAAAGGGUGUUCACAGUUCUCUACAUCACCACUGAAGCCUUUGAGCAGAUUCGUCUUAACACAACACCCGACGUUCUGACGACUCCCCAGAAAGCCUUAGUACAACUCCAUCCCGACCCACUCACGACCUCUCUGAUCUGGAGUCUCACCCACCCACCCUCCAAUCAUCUGCACCGCUUGCUAGGACAAGCACCUGUUCUAGAAUCUGCGCUCCCGCAGCGCCCUCUGCUGGACUCCCUCUACCCUGCAGGAUCUGGAACGCUCCAUUCCUCUCUUCUAGAUGUCAUGGCAACCUCCUUAUACCGCUCUCUGUUACCUUAGCCUGCUUUGAUUUUCUACAUAACAAUAAUC
rnacentral:lncRNA from 1 species